rnacentral:rRNA from 1 species
GACGAACGCUGGCGGCGUGCCUAAUACAUGCAAGUAGAACGCUGAAGGAGGAGCUUGCUUCUCUGGAUGAGUUGCGAACGGGUGAGUAACGCGUAGGUAACCUGCCUGGUAGCGGGGGAUAACUAUUGGAAACGAUAGCUAAUACCGCAUAAUAGUAGAUGUUGCAUGACAUUUGCUUAAAAGGUGCAAUUGCAUCACUACCAGAUGGACCUGCGUUGUAUUAGCUAGUUGGUGAGGUAACGGCUCACCAAGGCAACGAUACAUAGCCGACCUGAGAGGGUGAUCGGCCACACUGGGACUGAGACAAGGCCCAGACUCCUACGGGAGGCAGCAGUAGGGAAUCUUCGGCAAUGGACGGAAGUCUGACCGAGCAACGCCGCGUGAGUGAAGAAGGGUGUCGGAUCGUAAAGCUCUGUUGUAAGAGAAGAACGAGUGUGAGAGUGGAAAGUUCACACUGUGACGGUAGCUUACCAGAAAGGGACGGCUAACUACGUG